CCCCUUCGGGGGGUGGAAAGUGGCGCACGGGUGCGUAACGCGUAGGCAACCUACCCUUAGACGGGGAAUAACCACGGGAAACCGUGGCUAAUACCGCAUAAUGUCUUUCAUCCGCAUGGAAGAAAGAUCAAAACUCUGGUGUCUAAGGAUGGGCCUGCGUCGGAUUAGGUAGUUGGUGGGGUAACGGCUCACCAAGCCUACGAUCCGUAGCUGGUCUGAGAGGAUGAUCAGCCACACUGGCACUGAGACACGGGCCAGACUCCUACGGGAGGCAGCAGUGAGGAAUAUUGCGCAAUGGAGGAAACUCUGACGCAGCCACGCCGCGUGGAGGAUGACACCCCUAUGGGGCGUAAACUCCUUUUAUGUGAGAAGAAGGCCUUGUUCUGCAGGGUUUGACGGUAUCACAUGAAUAAGCACCGGCUAACUCCGUGCCAGCAGCCGCGGUAAUACGGAGGGUGCAAGCGUUGUCCGGAAUCACUGGGUGUAAAGGGUGUGUAGGCGGAGCUGUAAGUCAGAGGUGAAAUCCUGCGGCUCAACCGUAGAACUGCCUUUGAUACUGCAGCCCUUGAGUCUCGGAGAGGUUGCUGGAAUUCGUGGUGUAGCGGUGAAAUGCGUAGAUAUCACGAGGAACACCAGAGGCGUAGGCGGGCAACUGGACGAGAACUGACGCUGAGGCACGAAAGCGUGGGGAGCAAACAGGAUUAGAUACCCUGGUAGUCCACGCUG
rnacentral:rRNA from 1 species